rnacentral:rRNA from 1 species
GACGAACGCUGGCGGCGUGCUUAACACAUGCAAGUCGAACGGAAAGGCCCUGCUUUUGUGGGGUGCUCGAGUGGCGAACGGGUGAGUAACACGUGAGUAACCUGCCCUUGACUUUGGGAUAACUUCAGGAAACUGGGGCUAAUACCGGAUAGGAGCUCCUGCUGCAUGGUGGGGGUUGGAAAGUUUCGGCGGUUGGGGAUGGACUCGCGGCUUAUCAGCUUGUUGGUGGGGUAGUGGCUUACCAAGGCUUUGACGGGUAGCCGGCCUGAGAGGGUGACCGGCCACAUUGGGACUGAGAUACGGCCCAGACUCCUACGGGAGGCAGCAGUGGGGAAUAUUGCACAAUGGGCGGAAGCCUGAUGCAGCAACGCCGCGUGCGGGAUGACGGCCUUCGGGUUGUAAACCGCUUUCGCCUGUGACGAAGCGUGAGUGACGGUAAUGGGUAAAGAAGCACCGGCUAACUACGUGCCAGCAGCCGCGGUGAUACGUAGGGUGCGAGCGUUGUCCGGAUUUAUUGGGCGUAAAGGGCUCGUAGGUGGUUGAUCGCGUCGGAAGUGUAAUCUUGGGGCUUAACCCUGAGCGUGCUUUCGAUACGGGUUGACUUGAGGAAGGUAGGGGAGAAUGGAAUUCCUGGUGGAGCGGUGGAAUGCGCAGAUAUCAGGAGGAACACCAGUGGCGAAGGCGGUUCUCUGGGCCUUUCCUGACGCUGAGGAGCGAAAGCGUGGGGAGCGAACAGGCUUAGAUACCCUGGUAGUCCACGCUGUAAACGGUGGGUACUAGGUGUGGGGUCCAUUCCACGGGUUCCGUGCCGUAGCUAACGCUUUAAGUACCCCGCCUGGGGAGUACGGCCGCAAGGCUAAAACUCAAGGGAAUUGACGGGGCCCCGCACAAGCGGCGGAGCAUGCGGAUUAAUUCGAUGCAACGCGUAGAACCUUACCUGGGUUUGACAUGGAUCGGGAGUGCUCAGAGAUGGGUGUGCCUCUUUUGGGGUCGGUUCACAGGUGGUGCAUGGCUGUCGUCAGCUCGUGUCGUGAGAUGUUGGGUUAAGUCCCGCAACGAGCGCAACCCUUGUUCACUGUUGCCAGCACGUUAUGGUGGGGACUCAGUGGAGACCGCCGGGGUCAACUCGGAGGAAGGUGGGGAUGACGUCAAGUCAUCAUGCCCCUUAUGUCCAGGGCUUCACGCAUGCUACAAUGGCUGGUACAGAGAGUGGCGAGCCUGCGAGGGUGAGCGAAUCUCGGAAAGCCGGUCUCAGUUCGGAUUGGGGUCUGCAACUCGACCUCAUGAAGUCGGAGUCGCUAGUAAUCGCAGAUCAGCAACGCUGCGGUGAAUACGUUCCCGGGGCU